AAAAUUUGAAAAAAUAAAAUAAAAUAAAAAUUCGAAAAAAAAAUUUAUAAAAAAGUUCGAAUUUGACAUAUGAUCUAAAACUAUUAAAAAAAUAAAAAACAAAAAAGAACUUUUUUUAUAUAGGAUAUUAGUGUUAUUUUACCUAUUAAAUAAAACAUUUUGGUCAUUUCUCUCUUUUUGGUCUAUUUUGUGACCAAAACUUGAAAAUGGUCUAUUAAGGAGAAUUGUCCACAAACAAAAUUUACAAACAUUUGAAAAAUUAACAAAACACCUAUCACAUGAAAUAGACCCAUCACAAAUCGAAUUCAUAAUUUUUGUGCCAUUAACAAGAACCGGUUGUUUAAUCCCGGUCCUAGCAAAUGUUGAGACUCAAACCUUAAGCCUCUAUUGUUUGGGUAUUAGAAUUAAUGGUCUAAGCAUAACAUCGAUUUUUCUCAAAUACCAACUUUCCGUAUUGAAAAUACCAUAACAAAAAUGUUUCAUAAUAUAAUAAAAAGACUAUAAUCAACUUUUUAAUAAAACAUUAGACCAACAAUAAAACGAGCCAUGAGUUUAAGGAAUUCAUUAAAAGUUUCUACAAAGUAAAAAUGUCACACCAGCAAACCUUUAUAAGCAAACAAAAACAAAACUAAAUCCAAGAGUAACCAAAUCAUCAUAUAAGCUUUAGAGUUUUUCUCAUAAACUAGGCAAAAAAAGGGCUGAAAGAUACUAGAAUAAAAGAAUAGCCAAGCUUUUUCACUAAUCAUCAAAGACGAUCUUCUUCCCUGCAACGACAAUAUAUACAAAAGCAAAAGUUUAUGAGAAGAGAUUCUACAAGUCACAAAAAGAUGCAACUAUGAAGAACCUAGUGAAAGAUGCAACUAUGUGUCCAUUGAGGGAAGCUCUCAAACGAGGCAUAGAAAUAUCAAACCUUACGAAAGAUGACAUGAGGAUUGUGACUCUUCAGGUAAACACAAAAUGAAGAUCUUGGUAUAUGAUAAUUUUUUGGGUUUAAAUUUAAAUGGAUGUUAUGUUAAUUCCGUGAAUACACAUGUAGCUUAAAGAAACUUUUGUUCUGUCUCUCUUUUCAUCAAUUUGGUCAUGAUGCAGGACUUUAAGGACACAUUGCAAGAAGUAAGGCCUUCGGUUUCGCAGAACGAGCUUGGAAUCUACGACAACUGGAACAAUCAGUUUGGUAGUUUAAGCCUCUAAGACUAAGACUGGUGAGAUACAAUCUUGUCACAUAUUAUCAUUCAUCCUUUUGUUUUCUGGAAUAUACAUUUACGUUAUCUAUCACAAUUAUAAGAACCACCGUACAUUACAAGAGUUGCCCCUUUAAAGAGAAAACCUUAAACGACCCACAGAAGCUAAAACUAGAAGUCAUAUAGGAGUGUUCUUUAAAUUUUCAAACAUUUAUAUGAGACUCCUGUAUUCAAAAAUCCUGGUCAAUUCACCGAUCUCACGUGCACGAAGAACCGCUAAUGGAUGGGAUAAUUGACUCGUCUGAGCAUUUCUGUAGACAGGGGAAGUAUCUAAACAAACAAAGUUGCAAACACUCAAAAUUUUCACCGCCACCACUUAUAUAAAUCUCUGCAGGACCAGAACCUGAGAGUAACAUCCGCUUACGGAACCAAUCAAGCGUCCUAGACUACGCCAAUUUUAUAGUUCCUUAUGACAAUACAUGGAGAUUGGUAAGUUAGUAUUUGCUGUUCUUUUUUCUUUAUGCAUAAUGUAAAAUGUUUUAUUCUUUUGCAUGAUAAUAAAUUGUAUCCCUAAUUAAUGAUGAAGAGUAAAACGAUUUCUGAAAAAGAAGAAAAGUUGAAAAAAAGAAGAAGAAAAAGAAAAAAAUGACCUAGUAUUCUGUUUUUAUCAUCCCAAAUUAAAUUGUCUCUCCACCUAUCAUAAACCAAGUUAACGUAUAAAUAACACCAUUACGGUUUAAGAGAAUUAGUUUAAAAUCGAUAGUUUGUGCAUGUAAUUAAAAAAAUAGAGUUUUUUAUGUAGUUUUUGGCAUGAUUUAAAAGUGUGUGUUAAAUAACCAGGAACAACUAAUUCAUAAGAGAAUAAGUCAUUUUCCAUUAUUCAUGUAGUUUUUGGUAUGUCUUAAAAGUCUAUAUAUGAAAAAGCCGGAAACAACUAGUUUAUUGGGAAAUAAGCUAUUUUCGCAGUUUUUAACUCUCAAAAAAAUUCAAGAAGAUUUGAAGAAGAUUUGACAUAUGAACAAGCUUGUUCUAGAAAAGCAUCAAUAUUUAAUUUAGCUGAUAAACGAUUGCUGGACAUCGACCAGCUAAUUUCAUUAGAACGGAUACAACAAAACUUCAUUCCCUGAGCUUUCGUUGUCUUCUCUAUGAUGCAUAGAGCUGGGUUCACGGGUCAACCUGUCUCGCCCAUCCCGCCAAUCCGCAGAUUGAUUCAUCUUUUUCACUCAAAACAUCGACCCGCAUGAUCCGAAAAAAAGAUUUACAUACCCGCAUCCGCCCUACCCAAGUUUGCAGGUAACCCGCAGGACCCGCGGAUAAUAUAAAUUUUAAUAAAAUAAUUAUUCUAAUUGUAUUUUAAUUAUAUAAUACUUAUUUUUCUAAUAAAAUAAUUAAACUAUAUAUUAUUUUCUGAAUUUAUAGUAUUUUAUAUAUCUUUUACGAAAAUAUAUAUUAUUUUUUUUAUUUUUUUGUGGGUUAGCGGAUAUCCACGAUUCAAAAUCGAUCGACCUGUACCCACCCUGCGUAGAAUCGACUCAACCCGCACCCACAUGUUGAAUUUUUCGAAAUGACCGACCCACACCCGUCCCGCAGCGGUCAAAUGGAGCGGAACCCGCGGAUAAAAACUAAAAUUUCCAGCUUUAAUGAUGUGGCGGUUUCUAUUUGUAGCCAAACACUUAACCAUAGAUAGAAAUCAUAUAUUACCAAAUUUAUUAUCUUUGCUGUUGUAUAAUUUAGCUUUUCAUAUUUCAAACUCCUUUCAGUGAAAACAUGUGUUUAGAUGAAAUGGACUCGGAAGUUUAAAAGUUAUAACUUCCCAUUUAGGUUCUCCCUUACACAAGCAAACACAAACAGAAGCUCAUACCAUUGGUUUGGCUCUGUGUUUACUCUCUCACUUUCUCUCUAUAUAUAUUCUUCUACAGAAACCUUUUGUUAUAACUCAAAAGAGCUAUCAAAUCUCUCACAACACAACACACAGACAAACAAACUCACACAUUAGACGCAACAA